UACAGAGGGUGCAAGCGUUGUUCGGAAUCAUUGGGCGUAAAGCGCGUGUAGGCGGUCUUCUAAGUCUGGUGUGAAAGCCCAGGGCUUAACCCUGGAAGUGCACUGGAUACUGGGAGACUAGAGGGCGAGAGGGGAAAGCGGAAUUCCUGGUGUAGGGGUGAAAUCCGUAGAUAUCAGGAGGAACAUCGGUGGCGAAGGCGGCUUUCUGGCUCGUUUCUGACGCUCAGACGCGAAAGCGUGGGUAGCAAACAGG
rnacentral:rRNA from 1 species